rnacentral:rRNA from 1 species
CGCUGAGACAGGUGCUGCAUGGCUGUCGUCAGCUCGUGUUGUGAAAUGUUGGGUUAAGUCCCGCAACGAGCGCAACCCUUAUCCUUGUUUGCCAGCACUUCGGGUGGGAACUCCAGGGAGACUGCCGGUGAUAAACCGGAGGAAGGUGGGGACGACGUCAAGUCAUCAUGGCCCUUACGAGUAGGGCUACACACGUGCUACAAUGGCGUAUACAGAGGGCGGCGAGCUAGCGAUAGUGAGCGAAUCCCACAAAGUACGUCGUAGUCCGGAUUGGAGUCUGCAACUCGACUCCAUGAAGUCGGAAUCGCUAGUAAUCGUGGAUCAGAAUGCCACGGUGAAUACGUUCCCGGGCCUUGUACACACCGCCCGUCACACCAUGGGAGUGGGCUGCACCAGAAGUAGAUAGCUUAACCUUCGGGAGGGCGUUUACCACGGUGUGGUUCAUGACUGGGGUGAAGUCGUAACAAGGUAGCCCUAGGGGAACCUGGGGCUGGAUCACCUCCUUA